rnacentral:rRNA from 1 species
GAUGAACGCUGGCGGCGUGCCUAAUACAUGCAAGUCGAGCGAACUGAUUAGAAGCUUGCUUCUAUGACGUUAGCGGCGGACGGGUGAGUAACACGUGGGCAACCUGCCUGGAAGACUGGGAUCACUUCGGGACACCGAAGCUAAUAACGGAUAGGACCUUCUCCUUCCUGGGAGAUGAGUGAAAGAUGGUUUCGGCUAUCACUUACAGAUGGCGUCGCGGUCCAUUAGCUAGUUGGUGAGGUAACGGCUCACCAAGGCAGCGAUGCAUAGCCGACCUGAGAGAGGGCUCGGCGACACUGGGACUGAGACACGGCCCAGACUCCUCCGGGAGGCAGCAGUAGGGAAUCUUCCGCAAUGGACGAAAGUCUGACGGAGCAACGCCGCGUGAGUGAUGAAGGCUUUCGGGUCGUAAAACUCUGUUGUUAGGGAAGAACAAGUACGAGAGUAACUGCUCGUACCUUGACUGUACCUAACCAGAAAGCCACGGCUAACUACGUGCCAGCCGCCGCAGUAAUAC